rnacentral:rRNA from 1 species
CCUACGGACGCACCAGUAGGGAAUCUUCGGCAAUGGACGAAAGUCUGACCGAGCAACGUCGCGUGAGUGAAGAAGGUUUUCGGAUCGUGAAACUCUGUUGUUAGAGAAGAACAAGUAGGAGAGUAACUGCUCUUACCUUGACGGUAUCUAACCAGAAAGCCACGGCUAACUACGUGCCAGCAGCCGCGGUAAUACGUAGGUGGCAAGCGUUGUCCGGAUUUAUUGGGCGUAAAGCGAGCGCAGGCGGUCUUCUAAGUCUGAUGUGAAAGCCCUCGGCUCAACCGAGGAAGGUCAUUGGAAACUGGAGGACUUGAGUGCAGAAGAGGAGAGUGGAAUUCCAUGUGUAGCGGUGAAAUGCGUAGAUAUAUGGAGGAACACCAGUGGCGAAGGCGACUCUCUGGUCUGUAACUGACGCUGAGGCUCGAAAGCGUGGGGAGCAAACAGGAUUAGAUACCCCCGUAGUC